UACGAAGGGGGCUAGCGUUGUUCGGAAUCACUGGGCGUAAAGCGCAUGCAGGCGGAUCGCUAAGUCGGGGGUGAAAUCCCGAGGCUCAACCUCGGAACUGCCUUCGAUACUGGCGAUCUUCGAGUCCGGGAGAGGUGAGUGGAACUCCGAGUGUAGAGGUGAAAUUCGUAGAUAUUCGGAAGAACACCGGUGGCGAAGGCGGCCUUCUGGACAGUGACUGACGCUGAGACGCGAAAGCGUGGGGAGCAAACAGG
rnacentral:rRNA from 1 species